UCUCACUCACCAAAAAAAUUUUCGCUUGCAAAGUACUUAUAAUAGACCUGACGAUAUUAUCAAAGAUAGUUUCGCUCCGACCUCCGCGUCUUCGCCUCCGCCUCCCCUUGUUGCUGCAGUUAGGGUUUCGUAAGACACACACAAGAGCGAACAGGUUUAGUAAGUCCGGGCAUCUUCUGUUCAGGAAGGAUGAGGCCAAUUUUCUGUGGUAACUUCGAUUUUGAGACCAGACAGUUUGAGCUGGAAAAGCUUUUCAGAAGAUACGGGAAGGUUGAUAGGGUGGAUAUGAAGUCUGGUUUUGCUUUUGUUUAUAUGGAUGAUGAAAGAGAUGCAGAGGAUGCUAUUCGGGGGCUUGACCGAAUAGAAUUUGGCAGAAAGGGUCGGAGGCUUCGUGUUGAGUGGUCAAAGGAAGAACGAGGCAGGAAGCCUGAGGGUUCUAGUAAAUCUUCAUCAAGUGUCAGAGUUUGCAAGACGUUGUUUGUCAUAAAUUUUGAUCCAUAUAAUACUAGGACAAGGGAUCUGGAAAGGCACUUUGAUCCAUAUGGAAAAAUACUCAAUACAAGGAUCCGGAGGAAUUUUGCAUUUAUUCAAUUUGAGACACAGGAGGAUGCCACUAGAGCCCUGGAUGCAACGAAUAUGAGUAAGCUGAUGGACCGAGUUAUCACAGUGGAGUAUGCAAUCAAAGAUGAUGAUGAUAGGAAAGAUGGAUAUGGUCCUGGUAAAACCUAUGAUCGAUCACCUAGGAGAGGUUAUGACCGAAGCCGAUCUCAUAGUCCUUAUGGAAGAGACAGGCGGAGUCCAGACUAUGGUCGUGGUCGAGAUCGUCCAAGUCCAGACUAUGGUCGUGGCCGAGAUCGGCUAAGUCCUGAAUAUGGCCGUGGUCGAGAUGGGCCAAGUCCUGACUUUGGUCGUGGUAGAGAUCAGCUAAGUCCUGGUUAUGGUCGUGGCCCUAGUCGAAGUCCUAAUCAUAGGGAAAGGAAUUCUGAGUAUGGCCGUGGUAAUAGUCCAGCUGUAGAAAAGGAGAGAAAGCCUGGUCAUGGCAAUGUCUGUAGCCCUAGCCUUCGCAGGGAGAGAACAAAUCCAGGAAAUGGCCUUAUGAGCAGCAGCCCUUUGAAAAGCAGAAGUCCUGGUUAUGGCAAUAAACCCAGUCCUAGUCCUCAAAGGGAGAGAAGCGAGAAAUAUAGCCCAAAUGCUUAUAAUCGUGGCAGCAGCCCAAGUCCUAAACUUGAACCAGUAGGAAGCCCUGCACGUGAUGGGAGGGGAAGUUCAGAGCGAUACAGGAGUCGUUCACCUCCAGCUCGGGAAAGAUCGCGCUCCUAAUUUGCUUGAAGCUGUUUUGAUCCUAGGAGUAAUGUCUGUAGGAUGGUUAUGUUGAAAGUGGUGCUUGUAGAAUUACACCUUGAAGAUGCUAGAGCAUCAAAGUAGCAUGUCUCAUCUCUGCAUUUUUAGGUGCCAAAGAUCUUCAAGUCAGAAAAGGAGAAACACAACAGUACGGUAGCAUUUCGGGAGCAAUAUGAUGGAAAUGUUACAUAUUGGUGAACAUGGUGCACUGGUACUACACCUUUGAUAUAAUUGCUUCAGACUUGCUAGUCUUGCUUCCUGGAUAUUUUUUCAUGUAUGGACCAACAAGUGUGGUCCUUAAAUAUUCUCAGUACGGACAGUUUUAAUUUGGUGAGGAGUAAGAGUCGGUCUGUUAUAUU